rnacentral:rRNA from 1 species
GACGAACGCUGGCGGCGUGCCUAAUACAUGCAAGUCGAACGCAGUGGGGACGGGUGAGUAACACGUGGGUAACCUCCCAUCAGAGGGGAUAACACUUGGAAACAGGUGCUAAACCGCUACUGAUGGAUGGACCCGCGGUGCAUUAGCUAGUUGGUGAGGUAACGGCUCACCAAGGCCACGAUGCAUAGCCGACCUGAGAGGGGGAUCGGCAACACUGGGACUGAGACACGGCCCAGACGCCUACGGGAGGCAGCAGUAGGGAAUCUUCGGCAAUGGACGCAAGUCUGACCGAGAAACGCCGCGUGUGUGAAGAAGGUGUCAGGUGUGUAAAACUCUGUGGUUAGAGAAGCGGUACCUAACCAGAAAGCCACGGCUAACUACGUGCCAGCAGCCGCGGUAAUAC